rnacentral:tRNA from 1 species
GUCCCUGUAGCGCAAUGGAUAGCGCGUUUGAAUUCUAAUCCAAUGGUCGUGGGAGUGAAUCCCACCUGGGAUG